AUUGACCGCUGGCGGCAGGCCUAACACAUGCAAGUCGUGCGAGCGGCGGACGGGUGAGUACUGUAUGGGGACUGCCCGAUAGAGGGGGAUAACUACUGGAAACGGUGGCUAAUACCGCAUACUAUCGGAUAACCCAUAUGGGAUUAGCUAGUAGGUGGGGUAAAGGCUCAGCAAGGCGACGAUCUCUAGCUGGUCUGAGAGGAUGAUCAGACACAGUGGGACUGAGAAACGGCCCAGACUCCAACGGAGGCAGCAGUGGAGAAUAUUGCACAAUGGGCGCAAGCCUGAUGCAGCCAUGCCGCGUGUAUAAAGAAGGCCUUAGGGUUGUAAAGUACUUUCAGCGGGGAAGCGUUACCCGCAGAAGAAGCACCGGCUAACUCCGUGCCAGCAACCGCGGUAAUUC
rnacentral:rRNA from 1 species